rnacentral:snoRNA from 1 species
CCUAUAUUAAGUGGGUGAAUCGAUAACGAGUUGGAACAGGACAGUCUGUCUCUGGUCACUGGGUCAGUGUCACGUUCUGUCUCUCUGGGUUCAGUUCCCCACAAAGUUGUGUCUUUUCAGUUGAAGUUGAAGUUCAAGUCGUUUGUCUGAGAGGA